GGUGAGUAACACGUGGGUGAUCUGCCCUGCACUCUGGGAUAAGCCUGGGAAACUGGGUCUAAUACCGGAUAGGACCAUGCUUUAGUGUGUGUGGUGGAAGUUUUUCGGUGUAGGAUGAGCCCGCGGCCUAUCAGCUUGUUGGUGGGGUAAUGGCCUACCAAGGCGGCGACGGGUAGCCGGACUGAGAGGUUGGUCGGCCACAUUGGGACUGAGAUACGGCCCAG
rnacentral:rRNA from 1 species